rnacentral:rRNA from 1 species
UUCCUACGGGGGGCAGCAGUAGGGAAUCUUCCACAAUGGACGAAAGUCUGAUGGAGCAACGCCGCGUGAGUGAAGAAGGGUUUCGGCUCGUAAAGCUCUGUUGGUAGGGAAGAAAGAUAGAGGUAGUAACUGGCCUUUAUUUGACGGUAAUUACUUAGAAAGUCACGGCUAACUACGUGCCAGCAGCCGCGGUAAAACGUAGGGGGCAAGCGUUGUCCGGAAUUAUUGAGCGUAAAGCGAGUGCAGGCGGGUCAAGAAGUAUGA